UAUUAUUUUCAUUGCCUUCGUCUUAUAGGUUGACUUUGGUCUGAUCUUAGUAGCUAAGCAGGGUUGGGCACUGUUUGUCGUUGGAUGGGAGACCACCUGGAAACACCAGCCAAUGUAGUCU
rnacentral:rRNA from 1 species